rnacentral:SRP_RNA from 1 species
CCGCGCUAGAUGGGGAGCUGGCGGUUCCCUGCACCGGCAAUCCGCCACAGCCGGGUCGAAUUCCCCGCCGAGGUCCAGCCUUUCAGUACGGGCCGGGGUGGAAAGCGUUGAAGGUCGGGACCUGCGCAGCCCGGGUCUUCGAACCCCGUCAGGUCCGGAAGGAAGCAGCGGUAAGGAGGCAACCCGGGGGUGCCGCAGCAAUCCUGGCCGGAGCUGGAAGCUCGGGUGCCGCUGGGAGCGCUGUGGUCGACGCGGGGUGCGCGG